CCCUUAGAUGUUCUGGGCCGCACGCGCGCUACACUGUUCGACGCAGCGAGUCUUAACCUUGACCGAAAGGUUUGGGUAAUCUUCAGCAAAGUCGAACGUGAUGGGGAUCGAUCAUUGCAAUUAUUGAUCGUGAACGAGGAAUUCCUAGUAAGUGCAAGUCAUCAGCUUGUGCUGAUUACGUCCCUGCCCUUUGUACACACCGCCCGUCGCUACUACCGAUUGAAUGGUUUAGUGAGAUCUCUGGAUUGACGCUGGCUAGGGGGCGACCCUUGGCCAGACUGUUGAGAAACUGCUCAAACUUGAUCAUUUAGAGGAAGUAAAAGUCGUAACA
rnacentral:rRNA from 1 species